rnacentral:rRNA from 1 species
AUUGAACGCUGGCGGCAUGCCUUACACAUGCAAGUCGAACGGCAGCAUGAAGAGCUUGCUCUCUGAUGGCGAGUGGCGAACGGGUGAGUAAAGCAUCGGAACGUACCGUGUAGUGGGGGAUAACGUAGCGAAAGUUACGCUAAUACCGCAUACGCACUGAGGUGGAAAGCAGGGGAUCGCAAGACCUUGCGCUAUACGAGCGGCCGAUGUCAGAUUAGCUAGUUGGUAGGGUAAAGGCCUACCGAGGCGACGAUCUGGAGCGGGUCUGAGAGGAUGAUCCGCCACACUGGGACUGAGACACGGCCCAGACUCCUACGGGAGGCAGCAGUGGGGAAUUUUGGACAAUGGGGGCAACCCUGAUCCAGCCAUGCCGCGUGAGUGAAGAAGGCCUUCGGGUUGUAAAGCUCUUUCGGCCGGGAAGAAAUCGCACAGGCUAAUACUCUGUGUGGAUGACGGUACCGGCAUAAGAAGCACCGGCUAACUACGUGCCAGCCGCCGCCGUAA